rnacentral:rRNA from 1 species
UACAGAGGUCCCAAGCGUUGUUCGGAUUCAUUGGGCGUAAAGGGUGUGUAGGUGGCGCCGUAAGUCGGGUGUGAAAUUUCGGAGCUUAACUCCGAAACUGCAUUCGAUACUGCGGUGCUUGAGGACUGGAGAGGAGACUGGAAUUCAUGGUGUAGCAGUGAAAUGCGUAGAGAUCAUGAGGAAGACCAGUGGCGAAGGCGGGUCUCUGGGCCGUAACUGACGCUGAGGAGCGAAAGCAUGGGGAGCAAACAGG